UCAGGGGCAUGGAUAGGCUGACAUCACUCGCACAUACCACAGGGUGUGCUGCUGAUAUUGCGCUGUCCCACCCCAAUUGCAGGGGCAAGGUGGCACACUUGAUUCCCAGGUGCCACCCCAUAGUGACCUCACUCUGCAUUCUCCUAGGGUGCUUCUGCCUGGUUGGAAUGUGUCCCUAAAAUGUGGUUAUGGCUCCUGCUUGCCUCGAUGGAGGAUUGAGAGAUAUGUUAAGGUUGUGGCUCUAUGUAGAAACCUCUGACUUCUAUUCUACAAAGGUAAGAGUCUCCCCUGAUGCUCUGCUUACUUCUGCCUCUGCACCCAUCCACCACUUGCAUGUGGCCCUAGGAAGCUUGCUCAUGUGGGAAUAUGGCCCUGGGGCUGAAAAAAGAUCCCCCACCUUUUCAUAAACAGUUGUUUGAUGUUGAAGUGAGUUGUGAGCCCUGACAAGAGAUCCUGAAAGGAGGGGUGAAUUCUCUACCCCCCCAACAAUAUAUUAUUAAAAAGAAAAGGAGGCACAGAAUGGAUAAUGAAGAGCAGUAUAUAUUGAUGAGGUUGCAGAACAAGGUCAAUAGGCAGAAGAGGCCUAUUAAUAACUGGAAUAUGAAGCCACAGAAAAAUGUCAGCAUACCAAUCUUAAUAAGCCAAUAAUAGCACCCCCACCUUGAGUCCUGUCAGCAGUAGAGACCUGGUAGGUCCAAUGCAUGUUACAGAUACUUUGGGGAUAAUGGUGAGUUAGCAAGCUGAGUGCAAAAUUCCCUUGCACAUUAGAUGCAAAGGCAGGUUUAAUACCACAUAUUGUUGGGCCCUAAGUGUGAUGGAUUACUUGAAAGGAAAUGUAGAGUUUUGAUUUUACUAAGAGCAAGAGCCCCUUCAUGGAUCACUGCCUUGCCGUGGUGAAGGGGCUUGAAUAACUCGGAGAAGCUAUGCGCUAUGCCGUGCAGGGCCACCCAAGAUGGACAGGUCAUAGUGGAGAGUUUUGACCAAACGUGAUCCACCUGGAGCAGGAACCGGCAAGCCACUCCAGUAUCCCUGCCAAGAAAACUCCAUGGACAAAGACAAAAGGCAUAUAAAAGUUAUGACGCUGGAAGAUGAGCCCCUCAGGUCGGAAGGCGUCCAACAUGCUACUGAGGAAGAGCAGAGGACAAGUACAAGUAGAUUCAGAGCUGAUGAAGAGGCUGGGCCAAAGCCGAAAGGACGCUCAGUUGUGGAUAUGCCUGGAAAGGAAAGUCCAAUGCUGUACAGAAAAAUAUUGCAUAGGAACCUGGAAUGUAAGAACCAUGAAUCUUGGUAAGUUGGAUGUGGUCAAAAAUGAGAUGGCAAGAAUAAAUAUUGACAUCCUGGGCAUCAGUGAACUAAAAUGGACGGGAAUGGGCGAAUUCAGUUUGGAUGACCAUCAUAUCUACUACUGUGGGCAAGAAUCCCGUAAAAGAAGUGGAGUGGCCCUCAUAGUCAACAAAAGAGUGGCAAAAGCUGUAUUGGGAUGCAAUCUCAAAAAUGAUAGAAUGAUCUCGAUACUGAAUCCAAGGCAGACCUUUUAACAUCACAGUAAUCCAAGUUUAUGCACCAACCACUGGUGCUGAAGAAAAUGAAAUUGACCAAUUCUAUGAAGACUUACAACACCUUAUAGAAUUGACACCAAAGAAGGAUGUUCUUCUCAUUAUAGGGGAUUGGAAUGCUAAAGUAGGGAGUCAAGAGAUAAAAGGAACAACUGGCAAGUUUGGCCUUGGAGUUCAAAACGAAGCAGGGCAAAGGCUAAUAGAGUUCUGCCAAGAGAACAAGCUGGUCAUAACAACCACUCUUUUCCAACAACACAAGAGACGACUCUACACAUGGACAUCACCAGAUGGGCAGCAUCGAAAUCAGAUUGAUUAUAUUCUCUGCAGCCAAAGAUGGAGAAGCUCUAUACAGUCAGCAAAAACAAGACCUGGGGCGGACUGUGGCUCAGAUCAUCAGCUUCUUAUAGCAAAAUUCAAGCUUAAACUGAAGAAAGUAGGAAAAACCACUGGGCCGGUAAGAUACUGUCAGGGAACUGCCAUCGGAAGGAAGGGAGGUGAAAGGACUCAGACAGGUUGGAAGAGAUUCAGCAGCUGAAGAGGGAACCAGCAAGGGGAGAGAAGCUGAACUGAGGGAGGUGAAAGGGCUCAGACAGGUUGGAAGAGACUCAGCAGCGGAAGAGGAAACCAGCAGGGGGAGACAAGCUGAACUGAGGGAAAGGGAGCUGGGGGGAUGGCUCAGAGAUACUUCCAGCGAAAACAGUGGUGAGGUUUCCGGACCUCCUGUAGCGACACCCACUCCUCGCCGGAAACUGUCACGCAGAGAGUCCAGAAGACGUGUUUCCGUUAAGGAGCUUUUAUGUUGGAAGCGAUUACGAAAGCAACCACUGUCGGAAUCUUCUAGUGACUAGAGGAGCCAUGUCAGAGGGGCUCAGUCACAGACAGAGGUUUGUGGACUUGAACAAACUCUGAGGGAAUACGAUUUUACGCACAAGCAGCUCAUAAUCCCAUCACAGCAUUCCGACAGUCUUUGAACGCAGCUUGUGCAGGAGAAGGCAUAAUGAGCAACCCAGCAGGAACCGGAGAAGCAGGGGCUGGAGCGGGUCCAAGCCUGGAAGAAAGGUACCGGGUGUUGGAGGUCCAGCUGGCGCUGCAGACGGCGAGGCUGGAGGAGAGGAGGGCUCAAGAUGCAGACAAAGGGAGAAAGCCACCGAGCUCGCCAGAAAGGUACCAGGAUUGGUGCAGAAAUUUGGGGGGGAGCCCAAAGACUAUCAUAGCUUUCGGACAGAAAUGCAAUAUGCCCUCAAUCUGCAGUUUGAUGAUUUCCUGAUGAGGAAUCACGAGUGGCUUUUGUGAUUGGGCAUCUUGAAAAGGGGGCGAGAGACUGGGUGAGACCCCUGAUGGCAGCGCAUAGUGACGUCCUAAAGGACACGAUGAAGUUCUUUCGCGCCAUGGAUCUGAUGUUUUCCAGCGAUAUUGAAAAGGGAGUGGUGCGCAGACAGUUAAUGGCUUGCAAACAGGGGAGCCGAUCUGUACGUGAGUACUGGACUGAGUUCACCAUGCUGAUACACAGAUUGGGGUGGGACUUAUCGGCGGAACCCAUUCAAAUGCUCUUUGAAGAAGGGCUUUCUUCGGCGGUGAAAGAUGAACUUUCCCGGGCGCCCAGGGCGGAGUCUAUGGACCAGCUGACCAAAUCAGCGCUGGCCAUAGGAGCGCGCCAGGAGGCGAGAGCAUUGGAGAGGCGGGAAGGGAAAGGGGAACGUUGGAAGGAGUUCCGCAUUCCAGACAUUCCAGAGCCAACUGUCCCGCCGGCAGAGCCGAUGGAAAUCGGAACAGCGCGCGCGCGCGCAGUUUCAAAGCCCAGUGAGGGGGGAAGAAGGAUGGAAAAGGCGCCCGGAAAUGCUAUCUCUGCCAACAGCCAGGGCACUUUGCCAGAGUCUGUCCCCAGAGGAAGGAAUGGCAAGGGAUGGUGGGAGCUGUGGAGGGAAGAGAGGAACUAAUACCGGAGCAACUAAAAGCCAACGCCUGGCUGCCAUUGUCGGGGCAGCCAGGCCAAAGAGCAGUGAAAGUGCCCACUCCAGAACCUCCUAAACCCGCCCUAGUGAUAGAAGUGACACUAGAGCUGCCAAACGGACACCCUCUAAAGAUAAAGGCGCUGUUGGACUCAGGCAGCUCCUGCAAUUUCAUGAGCAAAGAGUUUGCAGCUGAACACCAGAUACAGACGCUCCCUUUAAGCAACCCCUGCAGGUAACCACGAUCGAUGGCAGGGAGCUGUUGGGAGGAGAAGUCAGCUUGCAGACCGUCCCAAUGAUAAUGAAGGUGGCAAGGCACACCGAACUAAUAGCAUUUAAUGUGGCCACCUUGGGAGGAGCUCCCAUUAUAUUGGGGAUGAGCUGGCUAGCAUUACAUGAUCCGCUGGUGGGCUGGCAUCAAAGAGUGGUUUCUUUUGGGUCAGCACAUUGCUUAGAACAUUGCAAAGAGGGAAGGGUUUUGGCAGGGGCCCAAGCCACUCUAGCAGGGACUGAAGUGACGGAGAACGUGAAGGUACCACGACAAUACGCAGAUCUCCGCGACGUCUUCAGCGAAAGGGAAGCUGACCAACUACCACCGCAUAGAGCCUUUGACUGUCAAAUCAAUUUGCUCCCUGGGGCACAGCUCCCUGUGGGCAAGCUGUACGCCAUGUCAGACAGAGAGAUGCAGGAGCUAAGAGAGUUCAUUGACAAGAACCUGAAGAGAGGGUUCAUCAGAGAGUCCAGGGCGGUGGGGGGCAGCCCAGGGUUUUUUGUGGACAAAAAAAAAACACGAACAAGCCGAGACUGGUGUGUGACUUCAGGGCCUUAAAUGCAGUGUCAGAACCAGUGGCCUUCCCGAUGCCCAGGAUUGACGACAUUUUGACAAGGGUGCGGAAGGGAAAGAUUUUUACCAAGCUGGAUCUAAGGGGGGCGUACAACCUGAUACGAAUAAGGAAGGGGGAUGAAUGGAAAACCACCAUGUUCACCCCUUUAGGGGCAUUUGAAUACUUAGUUAUGCCCUUCGGUCUACAAGCAGGCUCCGCAACAUUUCAAUCGUUUAUGAACCACGUCCUGGGGCCGUUGCUUUACAAGAAUUGUGUGGCCUUCUUAGACGACGUGUUGGUGUAUUCUGAGAAUGAGGAGCAGCAUGUGAGAGACGUCAGAGAAGUGUUGAGCAGGCUGCAAGCCAACCAGCUGUGGGUGAAACUGGAGAAGUGUCAGUUUCAUACCAAGGAGGUGGAAUUCCUGGGGUAUCGCCUGUCUGACAAGGGGUUGGCCAUGGAUCCCGACAAGGUCCAGGCGGUACUGGAAUGGAAAACACCCAAAACAAGGAAGGAUGUGCAGAGGUUUUUAGGGUUUGGGAACUUCUAUCGUAAGUUCAUCCCAAACUUUGCCCACCUGACGGCGCCCAUUACGGACUGUCUCAGCAGUAAGAAGAAGUUCGUUUGGACGGAGGAGGCGGAGCAAGCAUUUGAGGAACUAAAAGGGCCUUCGCCUCGGAACAACAGCUCCUGCAUGUGGAUUUACAAAACCGAUGAGAGUGGAAACUGACGCAUCAGACAGAGCGGUUGGGGCGGUGCUUCUCCAGCCAGGGAAGGAGGAGUCAGAGUGGAGACCGUGUGCUUUUUUCGCGAAAGCUGAACAAAUCCGAGAGGAACUACACGGUGUAUGACCGAGAACUACUAGCCAUUCAUGAGGCGUUCCGGAGAUGGAGGCACCUGCUAAUUGGCGCACAACAUAAGGUGCAAGUGUGCACUGACCACAAGAACCUAGAGUAUUGGAGGACGGCACGAGUGCUCAACCAACGGCAAGUGAGAUGGGCCCAGGAAUUCUCCAAAUUUAACUUUGAGAUUUGUUACGUGCCAGGCCCAGAGAACAUUAGGGCGGACGCUCUCUCACGCAAACCUGAAUAUUGGGAUGGGGAGGGAGCACCCGAAGAGAGACAUGUCAUUCCAGAGGACCGCUGGGUGUGUGGGGCGGCAUUGGUGGGACAAAGAGAACUGGUAGAAGAAACAGAGAAUGAUGAAUACGCCCAGAAUAAGCUCAGAGGUCUUAGGGAUGAGGGAGAGGAAUCAAGGGGUUUCGAGGAAAGAAAUGGAGCUUUGUAUUACAAAGGGGCACUGUAUAUCCCUGAAGGAGACUUAAGGGGAGGGUACUCAAGCAGUUGCAUGACAGCCCCACGGCGGGCAUUUUGGGCAACACAAAACCAUGUGGUUGGUCACCAGGGAAUUUUGGUGGCCUAAGGUGAGGGAGGAUGUACGUGAGUAUGUAAGAGGGUGCGAGCAGUGCCAGCGAGCCAAAGGGGAAAGGCGGGCGCCGGCGGGGCUAUUAGAACCCUUACCAACACCAGAACGACCUUGGGAGGCAGUGUCGAUAGAUUUUAUGACUGAUCUGCCGAAGUCCAAAGGGAAAACAGCCAUCAUGGUGGUGGUAGACCUACUAACUAAGAUGUGCCACUUUGUAGCUUGCUCGCAUGCAGUCACGGCGGAAGAGACAGCGAAGUUAUUUGUAGAACACAUUUUUAGGUUGCACGGGGUGCCAUUGAGGGUGGUCUCAGACCGAGGAAAACAAUUUACUUCCAGGUUCUGGAGGAAGCUCAUGAGCUUACUGCAGGUGGAGGUCAACUUUUCGACUGCCCGGCACCCUGAAACCAACGGGCAGGCGGAAAGAGCAAACGGUGUCCUCCAGCAAUACCUGAGGUGUUAUGUCAAUGACAGAGAGAAUGACUGGGUAGAAAAGUUGGCGCUGGCGGAAUUUGCCUACAACAAUGCCGAGAAUGUGUCCACAGGGAUGAGCCCCUUCUUGGCUAAUUAUGGGUGUCAUCCCAGGGCUUUCCCAGGGGAGAAGGGGAGAGAUGGAGCGUACCGGCAGCCGAGCAUUUUGUAGAAGAAAUGGAAGCAAUCCACCGUCAGCUCCAACUCAACUUAGAAAGGGCGAAGGAAGAAUACAAGAGGCAGGCAGACAAGAACCGAAGGGAAGGUGAAACCAUAAGGGUUGGAGAUAGGGUGUGGCUGUCAACCCGAGGGGUGCCGUUCAAAGGAGGUUGUAAGAAAUUACGACCCAGGAGGUUGGGUCCCUUUGAGGUCAUUCAACAGGUCAACCCAGUGGCUUUCAGGCUCCGGUUACCCAACCACAUGAAACUGCACCCAGUAUUUCACAGGUCGUUACUGUCACCGUACGAGGGGGGACGAGAAGGGAUGGACACUAGGGGACCGGUCAUAGAAGAAAGAGAAUGCAGCAGUCAUGUGGCAGAAAUCCUUGAUGCCAGGUGGAAGGGGAAUCAGGUGGAGUAUUUGGUAGCGUGGGAAGGAGAACCGGAGUCAGAAAACACGUGGGUAAUGGCCAAAGAUAUCAAUGACGAGGUAUUGAUAGAAAUGUUCCAUCAAAGGUUCCCGCGGAAACCUCAGCCUGUGGAGAGGUUCCGGAGGGAAUACUUUGGGACCACUGAGGAGGAGGAGGAGUUGGAAGGAUUCCCAGAAUCGGAAGGGGAAGGGGAGAUGGACUCGGAGGAGGAGGAGUGCUUCGAGACCAGGAACCGCAACAGGUGGAGAGAAGUGUUCGAGACAUCGGAAGAUGAAGGAAGUUCAUUCCGGGUUUUGCCUCCUCACCGCCCGUAGAGGAGGGGGCGAGAGGGGGUGAAGGGGGCCCUGGAGGGGAGGUGGAUGUCAGGGAACUGCCAUCGGAAGGAAGGGAGGUGAAAGGACUCAGACAGGUUGGAAGAGAUUCAGCAGCUGAAGAGGGAACCAGCAAGGGAGAGAAGCUGAACUGAGGGAGGUGAAAGGGCUCAGACAGGUUGGAAGAGACUCAGCAGCGGAAGAGGAAACCAGCAGGGGAGACAAGCUGAACUGAGGGAAAGGGAGCUGGGGGAUGGCUCAGAGAUACUUCCAGCGAAAACAGUGGUGAGGUUUCCGGACCUCCUGUAGCGACACCCACUCCUCGCCGGAAACUGUCACGCAGAGAGUCCAGAAGACGUGUUUCCGUUAAGGAGCUUUUAUGUUGGAAGCGAUUACGAAAGCAACCACUGUCGGAAUCUUCUAGUGACUAGAGGAGCCAUGUCAGAGGGGCUCAGUCACAGACAGAGGUUUGUGGACUUGAACAAACUCUGAGGGAAUACGAUUUUACGCAAGCNNNNNNNNNNNNNNNNNNNNNNNNNNNNNNNNNNNNNNNNNNNNNNNNNNNNNNNNNNNNNNNNNNNNNNNNNNNNNNNNNNNNNNNNNNNNNNNNNNNNACAACAACAAGAGCAAGAGCUUUUACUCUCUCGUUACACACAAAAUGAAACCCAGUUUGGUGAAGGGCAGUGUACAGGUAACUAUUUUGAAAAGAAAAGUCAUUUUAAGGCUACUAAGAACAUUGUGAGGAGAAAAAGAUCACUGCCCUCAGCGAAACAUGGGGAUAGCCAUCUUUUUCUCUGUGAAACUCCCCAUGAAGAGGCUGUAGGUUACUAUGUAUAGUAGCUUUCUGGGAACAUUUUAACAUAGUUUGAGGGGUAUUUUAGUACUCAGACACAGAACUGCUCUAAGUGACUAAAAUGUUGGAAAAAAAGAGGCAGCCCUUGAACCACCUCAUAAUACAGUACAUCUCAUGCAGUUUGGUUUGUUGAUUAUGUGACUUAAUCUGCAGAUGUACAUUCCAAUCCGUGCAUAGUGUCUGAGGGGGAUGAAAUUUAAAAGUUGUCCCAAGACACAGACCCCCCCCCCCUCCAUCCAUACCUUUUAAGGCUUUUUAGGUUUUUGAUGCUCCUCUGUUUCAGCUCCUCUGUUUAGCUGUUUUUUAGUUGCUUUAUUUGCUGAUGAUUUAAGAACAGCCUUUUUGUUUUACCGACUUUAAAAAACACACACCAAAAAACCUUCUCUAUCUACCCCCUCAACUGGGCCCGGUAUUGGUAUCAAUGAAAGGUAAACUAUAAAUCUUUAAAGCAAAUUAUUCAACAUAUGUGGGAGGUGAUAGAGCCUCCCAUGCCUGACAGGGCAGGUACAUUGUGGAAUGUGCCCCUUCGGAUCAAAGGCUGCCAAUGAAGAAUGGGUGGAAGGCUCCCUUGAACUUUGUGGGGACCCCCGUGUUCACAGAAUAGAUCAUGGUCCUAAUGCUUGAGAAGCAGAACUGUCAAUAUUGAGCCAAAGGGAUUCUGGUAUUGUAAUUCAGCACAGUAAAGCAAUAAAAUAAUGAGUACUGGGACUGUCACAAUUUUACAAGUUGUUUAAGAGAGAAUAAUGAUUUAGCAAUGAGUGAAGAGAACUAUCUGAACCUAUCUGUUCUGAACAGGGGCAAGUAAUUUUGUCUUGAUCUUUGUUUCUACUUCCACAAAAUAGAGAUAAUUACUUACCACACAGGAUUACUUAGUGAGCCUCUUAAAAUUCUUUACAAAUGAAAAAAAAAUCAGCUCAAUAUCAGUGUAUUAUUCUAAUAAAGAUGGCAUUGGAUUUAUGGUGCCUCGUGGUAAUUUAUGGAACUAAUUAAAAACUGAGUAGGUUGUGCAGAGUUUUAAAUGCCUAAUCAGUUACUUGAAGACCACCUACCUUUGCGAAGGCGCACACUCCGCACGGUAACAUCCCCCAAGAAUUUAUGAUUAAAAUAAUAAAAGCCAUGAAAUAAAGUGUAAUCCUGAUGUUAAAUUUCCAAGAUAAAACAGUUUGCUGAAAUUGGAAAGUAAUUAGAACAUAUUGUUUGAUAGCAUUUUAAAAAUUGCAAGCUGUUUCAUGUACUUUUGUGCCGACUCUUUGGAAAGCACUUUUGGAGCAUGGCCCAAGUGCAAACUGCAGCAUGAAAAGUAGCUCCAGUCCUUUGGGUUGUGUGGCCACUAUGAAUUGGAUAUACUAGCUAAGUUCAUUGAAGCCGAGCUCAUAAAUUAACUGGAAUUAGUUGGAAUUCUUCAGGUGGCAGUGGCACCUGGAAUGAGAGGCAAGAUUCUAGGACACACACCGCACCUCCAUACACAAAAACCCUUUUCCAGCUCAGAUCAACAUCCAGGCCAGAAAAGCUUUCCCAGAUUCCCUUCUCUUGGCCAACCCUGACCAUCAGGUCCCAAAACACCUUCCUCAUCUGCAAAUGGAGACAAUGGCAGAAGGAGCAUUGGAGAGCAGGGAGGAGGGUUUUUUCCUUCUGUCUCCAUCACCUUAGUAUAUGCCACAACAAGCACCACCACUCUUCCUGCAGCAUAUCAUGGCUGAGAGAACUGUGUUGCCUGAAAUGCAAUGACAUUUGGAUAAAUUCCAUUACCUAUGAGGCCACUGCCCUUUCAAGCCUCUUAACAUGCCAUGGAGUAUGUCAAGACAAGGAAAGAAGGGAAUGCUUUCCUCUCUGCUGUUGCUGCUACUGCCAGCAUCCUGACUUUUGCAGGUAAGUAAACAGAAAGAUAGUGAGGGAUCUGUUAGGGAAAGGGGGCUCAUUUCAUAAACCCCUCAAAUUGUAUCAAGAAAUGAACUGGUCUGUUUCUGGUUGCAGUGGAGGAAUCAGUUCAUUUGCAAAUCAUUUCGAGGAGAGCAUAGGGAAGGCCGAGGUUCACUCAUUUCUACUAAAUACAUAAAAAUAAUAAUAGUGGGGAGGAGAGCAGGCCAACAAGGAACAGGAGCAGAGACAGGUACCAAAAUCUCAACAAUCACUAAGUGCUUUUUUUAUUAGAGACCACAUUUUAUCCUCACUUCCAUAAAUUACUGGUAGAUGUCAAGUUUUGCUAAUACAUUCCAGUAUAUUCUAGAACCAGCGUGGUUACAUGAUACAAAGUGUGCAUAACUAUGCGGAGCAGCAACUUGGGCUGUACAGAUCAGGCUAACAGUUGUGUGGCGAAUGGGGACCAAAAAGGGGCUGUUAGGUGCAGCACUGCACUGUGCUAGCAUUUAUUUCCUGAUCAAGGUUUUGUAUGUAGAAGUUUGCUUCCACACCUCUAUGACCCAUUGCUGGAUCCAGUCAUAGUUUUGAGGAAGGGCCAUAGCUCAUAGUUGGAGCAUCCCAGAUUCAAUCCCCAGCAUCUCCAGGUAGGGCUGAGCUGGAUGGGCCUAAUGGUGUGACUCAGAGUAUAAGGCAAUGCCUUUUGUUCCUAGUUGCAGUAGACUAAUGACUUACUUCUUAUAGAGCGCACUAUGGCAGGCUGUGCUUUGGUAUUGGAAUGGUGAAGAUAAAGCAUGGCACCUAGUCUGAUCACAAAACUGUUGCUGUGGCAAAUCCAUAAUUCAUUCCCAGACUAGCCACAUGAUCUGGCACUGAAUGUCCAUGAAAAAGGCAUGAAAGGUAUUAGCAGAAGGAAGCAACCAAAUGCAAAGCAAGGAUAGUUGGUGCUUGAUGCUGGUAAUCCCAUGAGGGCUAGCAGUGGCCUGGGAUUCUGGCUUCUCAAUAAGAGGUUGAGCCAAGGUUGUUGGGUGGGUCCCUGUGUGAAUUCUGGAUAUCCUAGAAGUCUGCCUUGUGGCAACAAAUACAUUUAUACUGUACCAUAGGCAGAAAAUACUUCAAAAUGGUGCUAUUUUGGUGUUGACAGUACAGCCUCAUCAUAUGGGUAUGUCUGAAAGAGCACAAACUAUCAACAUCAGCCACCCAUCCAAACGUUUGCCUGGGCUUUCAGAUCCUGCAAAAAAAAUACUAUGUUGUAAGCAGCCACCACCAGUGCUAGGCAUGAGGAUUUCAUCACUGCACAGCACCCUGUUGCAGAAGCAAACUUCCAAAUACAGGCCCUGUUCCAAAAGAAUGGUCUGCACCUGGGUGCCUGUUUUCAUAUGGAGGUAGCCCUUGCAUGGGCCAACAGUUUCACAAAGAAAACAAAAGCCCUAGUCUCUCACCAUGAUGAAAAUGGAGAAUGAGGAACAAAAUGAGAUUGCCACAAGUAUAAAUUAGUUUUGCAUUUUUGAUUGUCUAAUUUUUCCCCCCAAAGCGGCUUUCCUAGUUGGCAUGCUCAUAACUACACUGGUGGCACAGAGAUAUGUAAUUAAUCUCCCACUCCCCCAUCCCGUCUCUGUCUAACCCCCCUCCCCACCCACGCCAAAAUAAUGCAUAGUGUAGCCAGAUUCCAAAAAAAGCAUUCUUGCUGGCUUCUGUAAACUCACCUGUAGUUUGCUGACACACUCAUCACUCUGUUUCAAAGCUAUCAAAUGGCAUUUCAGACUGCAUGAGAAAUUAAUAAUGAUCUUGCAAUUCCAGCUCCUGAUGAGUUAGCCAAGAGGAGGCAUAAAGAAUGUAAUGUCAGGAGAACCCCCCACUUAUGGAGCAUCACUUCAAAAACUGCUGAGAAUGGUAAGAAAAACCAAUAGGAUUUUACUUUACUAUUAUUCUCUCAUAUGCUGGGGAGAGGUUGAGGCAGUGGGAAAAUGGUAAAAAAUUGUGAUUAUUCUGUACUUAGUAAAAUACGAUUGAUAUUGGAGUUUUUUGUUCAAGGUCUAUACCAAAGUACUAUUGAGUUCUGAGACAUGUUCCCUUUCUCUGGCUAUAUUUAAAGCAUUUUCAUUGGAAAUAGCAUAAGAAAUCCAACAGCUGUCUUAAACCAUUUUGCUGGAAGGAAAUCAGCAGGGUAACGUCAGUCAUAUUAAUUACUUGCAGGAGGAAGGUAAGCGGAAGAACGAAUUAAAAACAACAGGUUUUAUUUUCUUCCCCCCUCCGUUCUGUCCCCACCCGCAAGAAACCUAGAAGAGAAUAGUUGCAAUUUCAUUUGCUUUUAAAGCAUAGCACUUGGUAAUAAACGGCCCCUGCAAAUGUGCUGAGCAAACACCUUCGCAUUCAUCAAUAUGCGGGAGCUGUUUAUUGCCUCAUAAACUUGGAAGCAAGUGAUAUUGUCUCUUAAAUCAAUGGCUGCCUGGACAUCCUUGGCUCUGGAGAAGAACAGUACAUCCAGACAACGUUGAUACUUAAAUUAAUGACUCUGGUAAUGACUGAAAGGUGCUUAGUCACUGAUGGAAAAAUUAGGCACAGAUCUAAAAUGCUCUCAGCAUACUUAAUAUGUGUACUACAAAACAAAGGGAAUGGAUGGGUACAGGUGUGUGUGUUGUGUGCAUCUCACUGCCGUAACCAAUUUUAAGCAAAGGUUAGUCUGUGAAGACAAACAGAACCAGGCUGACUUUUGCUUCUUCCAAGCUAAUGCCAAAAUCAGUAUUUAAAAUUAAUGAUAAAAACCAACCAUGGCUGGUUGGGAGGAACAUAAAUUGAAUUAGCUUUUUGCCACUUACAAUUAGAUUUAAAAGCCCUUAACUAUUUAAAUUGUAGGUCUGAGCUGGUUGUUGUAACACAUUAGAUCAGACCAAUACCGAACAGCUAUAUAUACCUCAACAGCUGGGAAGUCAGAGAUCAAGAUCAUCACAAUAUGGUCUUGUGCUGGCCAUAAUCCAAAGUCAUAGCAUAAUGAAAAGUUGCCCUUAUUCCAAGUCAAUUUAUCCAUUUAGCCUAGUAUUUCUACUUGGACUGGCAGCAGCUCUCCAGACCCCAAGAGGCAAGUCCAGUGAAGGAGCAGGACGCAGAAGCUUGGCACAAUAGUUUCACUUUUCCAAAAUAAUCCAGCUAGCCUGUCAAAAAUUUCACUAGCCUGCAGAACCAGCAUUGUCUUUUGUUCUUCAGUCUCUUUGUUAAACCCCACUGUUUUGUGGGGAUUUUUAAAAAACUCUCCAUGCAAUGUUUUUGAAAUAUUCUGUUUAUGCAAGGAGAAACCAGCCCAACCUUAUUUCACCAAAGGUUUGUUGAUGAUGGUGAGGGUGGUGGAAAAUCACCAACAGAAUUUUAUCACUUAUAGUGUAUAUGACCAAGAGUAUAGAGCAGUUCAUAGAAACCAGAAAGUCUUGUUUAGCAUUUCAAAAGGUCUAGAGCUUUUUCCAGUUUUGUGUUUUAGUAUUACUUACUUGAUUAAAAUUAAACAUAUUGACACAUUAAUGAGGAAAAUGCAAUGAGAUGCUUGCAGUUUGCCUUAAAAAGAUGAAGAGUUGCACUGAAACUUCAGAGCAACAACACCGAAACUUGUAGCAAAGCGCUUAUAUUGGGAGAAGCCUAUUUUUUUCUUUUUUCUUUUUGAAGCACUUGUUGACAAUCAUACUAGCAAAACCAAAAUUAAUUGUCUUUGCCAGGCACUGCAUUAGCCUAAAUUGUAUCGACACAUUAGAGCGGAGGGAGGGGACUUUCGGAGGGGUGUGAGAAAUUAUCCCUGCAUUUGAGAAAUUAAGAGUGCUAGAUGUUUGGCUCAGUGAAAGAAUUACUGAGAUUCUUGCGGUGUCCUGAAAUGCUUCUAAAAAGAUAAAUUAUUUUGUUAAGGAUAGGUGUGGAAGGCCAGCUUUUUAACUGAACUUCGUAAGAGAAGGCAUCCUGAUGGAACCCAGCAGGGAAGAGGUCAUUCAAAAGUACUUGCAAUCAUCCCUUUUCCUGAUGAAGACCCCAGAAUAGCCACCAGACAUUGUAAGAAUGGCAUUGACACCAAUGACCUUACUACUCUCAUCAGCAAAUAUUAGCUUCAAUUAUAUUUAUUUAUUAAAUUAUAUCCCACCUUUUCUCCAAGGUGCUCAAGGUAACAUAAAUGGUCCCCCCACAGCUUGAUGUUACAUUCACAACAAACCUGUGAAGUUGGUUAGGCUGGGAUGUAGUGAUUGGUCCAAGGUCACUCAAUGAGGUUCAUGGCUGAAUGAGGAUUUGAACUCGGGUCUCCCCAGUGCAAGUCUAGUGCACCACACUGGCUCUCAUUGUUUGUCAUUUCAACAACAUCAACAGGUCACAUUUCACUGCCGUUCUGCAUAUUAACCUAGGGGUGUAAGGGUUCUCCCCGGUUUCUCAGAGCUGAAAUUAAGAAACUGCUUUUUCUUCUGCCACCACACCUCCAAGGAUGAACAAGACCAGCCUGUGGCCCAACUAAACUGAACAUAAUCCAUCAGCCAUGUAAGAAGGCCCAGCAUGCUUGGGGGGGGGGGACAGGAUAAAGGAACACCAGGACAGAGGACAAGAUUAUACCACAAUGCUUCAUUCUUGGUAAAAUCAUCACCUGCUAAAUUUUUGUUAGCUUUUCUUUCAUCCCCCCCCCCACAUUUUAGCCAAUCAUGGUCCUUCCUGAGGCUUCUAAAACAGCAGUUAAAGAAGCUAUCAGAAAACGUGGGCGUGGGGGCUCUGUGCCUCCCUGCUAAGUGGCACACCAUGCAGCAACCCUCUUAACAUCUUGCCAGAGACUGUGCUUUGUGCCAUCAGUUUGGUGUGCUGCUUUCCUCAUUUCCUCCUUCUUUCGACAUAGGCUCUGAUGUCUGUGCAUAGUGGAAACAAAAAUGGACUUAUUUUCAUUAUCUUAGAGGCAGCAACCAUUCAGUUCCUUCUCGCUGACAAACAAGGUUGCUCUAGGAAUCCAAACCCCACUUGACUGUUCAGAAGCUUGCGUAUAAUACACAAAGCCUUUAAAAGGAACAAAUGGCAGGAGCUUGUGUCUCUCAAAUCCUUCCUGGGAUGUGUAAAUGUUAAACAGGUUUGGCUAUCCAGAGCUGUCAAAAUUACAUUGGCAGAUUUUCAGCAAAGGUUAAUUAAACUCAAAUAAAUAAGAUGAUGAUGUUGUGCUCAGACACUCUUAUCAUUCCAUUAUGCAUCUUAGAAGUACAACAAAAUGUUGCAAUGCAGAGUGCUGCUUUUCAGGGUUCCACCCCAACUAGCCAUGUCCUCUUCCAGGAUACACCAGGUCAUUUCCCUCCUCCUCCUCAGUCAGUGUUCUAUGGUUACUGAGCAUGCUCAGUUCCCAGUAGACUAUUUUGGCUAUUUUGGAAAAUCGAUGUUGUAUCUAUAGCGUAUUCAGGUGGUUUGCCAGAUGGGGCAAAGGGAGAAUUCGACCUAUAGAUCUUCCUGAUUUUUUAAAUGUUGGCCAAAGAAAUGCCGAACUUUACUCCUUCUAGCAUUUCUUAAGAGCGAUCAGUAGUUUUAAAUGUAUUUGCCACAUAUCAAAAUAUGUGUGUGCCUUGUGAUCAAUUAUGUGGGGUGGGGCUUACCUGACCACACAACCCCCAUAUGUUCCUCUCUACAGCUACAAGCCUAGGUACACUUAUUUGUAAACCCUAUCAAAAUCAACAACUUUCUUCAUAGUGAAUAUAUUGCUUUGCAAUCAAAGAACGCAGGGUCAGUUGCUGAGACACUUCUUUUUUUUAACCUAUCCCAAUUUGUGUCUUGAUGGGCAGAAGGAAAGGAGACUCUGCAUUUAGUUAUUAUUACCACAUUUCUCCAGCCACUUCCAGCCUAAUGUUCCCCAUCCCUAUUUUAAUUUGAUGGAGGAAGGCUGGGGGGCAUGUGAAACCAUGCAAAUUCAAGAGGGUCUCUUUAUUCUACUGAAUCCAGCUUCUAUCCAGACCCCGGGGGAGGGGGAAACAAUUGACUGGGAGGGGGUGGCCAUGACACUUUCUCAAAAUUCCAAAUGUGCCUUUGGUCCUAAAAAGUUGCCCACUGUACAGCAUUCAGCUCUAUGCUGGUUGUCAGUGCCAGAGCAAGGGAGGUGACAGUGGACCAAACACUUGUUAUGGUCGUAAAUUGUGCUUCAAAAGGGCAUACCAUCUCAGUCAGAGAUACAACCAUGUAAGUGGCAAUCUUGUCUAAGCCUGCAGUCCUGUGCACACCUACCAGGGAGUAAGUCCCAUUGGACUCAGGUGGACCUAGAUACGUAUAGGGUUGCACUCAUAAGAGCCAACUCCCAAGGGCCAAGGUCCCUUCGGUCCCCCAAUAAAAACACUUGAGGGGUUGGGGGGCCCCCCAAAGUUGAUGGGCAUUGCCAUUCAAAUGGUAUGUGUGUGCCUUGUGAUCAAUUAUGUGGGGUGGGGCUUACCUGACCACACAACCCCCAUAUUUUAUUCAAGUUGGCAACCCCGGUUGCAUUGCAAGUUAAUGAAUUGAGAUUUGACUUCUAUGACUAAAUAAAAAUAAACAAAGAGGUUUGUCUCGCUUUAGGAAGAAGUGAGGCUCAAUGGGCAUCUGGACAAGAUAAGAGUACUGUAUUGGAAUGCUAGUUUAAUCUUUCCCCAAUGAAAUAACCAUUCACUUAAUCAGGACGGAAGCAGGAUGAAAACGUUCCACUCAGCAGAUAAAUCCACCAGCUCCCUUAUCCUAUCUCCACCACUGCAAAUGCAUUUAGUUGUCAUCUGGUAUUUCUGUUUUCAUUCUAAUUCUUUCUGCCUUGUUAUUCUGUCAGUUUCUUAAUCUGUUUACACUGACUUUAUUUUUAGUAUGUCUAUUGUGACAGUAAAUCCUAGAAUUGCCUUCGGUGUUGUCUGAAAAUGGCCAUUAUCAAAUCAUAAUGCCUAGCCAGAUGAAGUCCUGUAAGGGCCCUAGGCAAUCACUAGGCAUCCUCAACAGCUGCCUGCAUUUGAGUCCUGCAUAUCAAUUCUCACCUUGGAGGGGGCCCUGCAGUAUUAUCAGGAGUGGAGGAGGAGG
rnacentral:lncRNA from 1 species